rnacentral:rRNA from 1 species
AUUGAACGCUGGCGGCAUGCCUUACACAUGCAAGUCGAACGGCAGCACGGGUGCUUGCACCUGGUGGCGAGUGGCGAACGGGUGAGUAAUACAUCGGAACGUACCUUAUCGUGGGGGAUAACGCAGCGAAAGCUGUGCUAAUACCGCAUACGCCCUGAGGGGGAAAGCGGGGGAUCGCAAGACCUCGCGCGAUUAGAGCGGCCGAUGCCUGAUUAGCUUGUUGGUGGGGUAAAAGACCACCAAGGCGACGAUCAGUAGCUGGUCUGAGAGGACGAUCAGCCAAACUGGGACUGAGAAACGGCCCAGACUCCUACGGGAGGCAGAAGUGGGGAAUUUUGGACAAUGGGGGCAACCCUGAUCCAGCAAUGCCGCGUGAGUGAAGAAGGCCUUCGUGUUGUAAAGCUCUUUUGUCAGGGAAGAGACACCGGCUCUAACACAGUCUGGGAAUGACGGUACCUGAAGAAUAAGCACCGGCUAACUACGUGCCAGCAGCCGCAGUAA